rnacentral:rRNA from 1 species
GAUGAACGCUGGCGGCGUGCCUAAUACAUGCAAGUCGAGCGAACGGACGAGAAGCUUGCUUUUCUGAUGUUAGCGGCGGACGGGUGAGUAACACGUGGAUAACCUACCUAUAAGACUGGGAUAACUUCGGGAAACCGGAGCUAAUACCGGAUAAUAUUUUGAACCGCAUGGUUCAAAAGUGAAAGACGGUCUUGCUGUCACUUAUAGAUGGAUCCGCGCUGCAUUAGCUAGUUGGUAAGGUAACGGCUUACCAAGGCAACGAUGCAUAGCCGACCUGAGAGGGUGAUCGGCCACACUGGAACUGAGACACGGUCCAGACUCCUACGGGAGGCAGCAGUAGGGAAUCUUCCACAAUGGGCGAAAGCCUGACGGAGCAACGCCGCGUGAGUGAUGAAGGUCUUCGGAUCGUAAAACUCUGUUAUUAGGGAAGAACAUAUGUGUAAGUAACUGUGCACAUCUUGUCGGUACCUAAUCAGAAAGCCACGGCUAACUACG